AUUGAACGCUGGCGGCAUGCCUUACACAUGCAAGUCGAACGGCAGCACGGGUGCUUGCACCUGGUGGCGAGUGGCGAACGGGUGAGUAAUACAUCGGAACAUGUCCUGUAGUGGGGGAUAGCCCGGCGAAAGCCGGAUUAAUACCGCAUACGAUCUACGGAUGACAGCGGGGGACCUUCGGGCCUCGCGCUAUAGGGUUGGCCGAUGGCUGAUUAGCUAGUUGGUGGGGUAAAGGCCUACCAAGGCGACGAUCAGUAGCUGGGCUGAGAGGACGACCAGCCACACUGGGACUGAGACACGGCCCAGACUCCUACGGGAGGCAGCAGUGGGGAAUUUUGGACAAAGGGCGAAAGCCUGAUCCAGCAAUGCCGCGUGUGUGAAGAAGGCCUUCGGGUUGUAAAGCACUUUUGUCCGGAAAGAAAUCCUUGGCUCUAAUACAGUCGGGGGAUGACGGUACCGGAAGAAUAAGCACCGGCUAACUACGUG
rnacentral:rRNA from 1 species